rnacentral:rRNA from 1 species
AACGAACGCUGGCGGCAUGCCUAACACAUGCAAGUCGAACGAGACCUUCGGGUCUAGUGGCGCACGGGUGCGUAACGCGUGGGAACCUGCCCUUAGGUUCGGAAUAACUCCCCGAAAGGGGUGCUAAUACCGGAUAAUGUCUUCGGACCAAAGAUUUAUCGCCUUUGGAUGGGCCCGCGUUGGAUUAGCUAGUUGGUAGGGUAAAAGCCUACCAAGGCGACGAUCCAUAGCUGGUCUGAGAGGAUGAUCAGCCACACUGGGACUGAGACACGGCCCAGACUCCUACGGGAGGCAGCAGUGGGGAAUAUUGGACAAUGGGCGAAAGCCUGAUCCCGCUAUGCCGCGUGAGUGAUGAAGGCCUUAGGGUUGUAAAGCUCUUUUACCCGGGAUGAUAAUGACAGUACCGGGAGAAUAAGCUCCGGCUAACUCCGUG